CCUCCCCCCCCUCCUCAAAUAUAGGUAUUGAAAUUUACAUGAAGUAAAAGAAUUAAGCAGUUGAAUCUGCAGACUAUUCUUGUUCCAUUGAACUUGGUAGACUCAGAGGUCUUGAAGAUUUAACGGAUUUAUUUGGUUAAAGCAAAAUAACAAUUUCAGGAGCGAGUCUGUCAGGAUUUAAGUUACUGUGGUUGUUUCCUUAUGAAAUGGCAAACCAUGGAAUGCCUAGCUGAAUUUCAGGAGGAAUUGACUGAGCCGUAAAUGAGCUUCAUUAAGAUACAGUUAUAGAACAUACUAUUGUUGCUUUUCUGGAAAUUGUUAUUCUUAGGUUUUACUUGAUGUUGUAUAAUAUAUAAACACCAAAAGUUACAAAGAUCUAGACUUUUGUGAAGAGAAGACAAGUCUAUUUUGAAUAUUUGAAAUUUUAUUCUCUUUUGACAUUAAGCUUUGGAACACUCAGAUAAUCUAUACCAUGUUAGUAUUCCUCUAAGAGAAAACGGGUAAAACAGUAUUUAGAAAGCAGAACCAGUAAACCUUAUUACAAGCAUUAGAUGUGCUUAAAAAGUUGAUAUUAAUUCAUAAUCUGUAAUUGUUAAAUGUAUAUGACUUAAAUGUUAAAAUCUCACAUUUUAAGAUAGUCUUCUACAAUUACAAACCCAUAUGCCCAGAUUUUCCUUAGGCUUCGCAAACCAGAGAAGAUAGAAUGUGUAAGAGUCAAAGGAUAAAUAUUAUAAAUAUAUAUUAGUUAUAUUACCUAAUUAAAGCCAUAAUCUGUUAAUACAGCUAUGGAUUUAUUUUAAAUUUUAAUUGAAUAUAUUACUAAUAGUGUAGUUGUUGUAUUUCCAAAUGUUGGUAACCUCAUUAAAGUUCUUCACUUUCAUAGAGUCCAGAUUGAGCUGCCAGACGCUGAAAUUCUCCUUCAGGGUUAAAAGCUUGUUUCACAUCCAAACCUUUACCGUUAAGUGCUAAAUAUUUGCUGAAAGUUGGUCGAACACGUAACUGCUUAGGAGCCGGAAGAGUUUGCCUUUGAUGGACUGAAAUAGAUCAAAAUAGAAGUUGAUUCAGAAAACAUGUUCUAAACAAAUGGGUUGCUCUAGGUAUUCAAUAUCAGACAGGACAAGAAAAAGAAAUCAGAACUGUUGGGGGAAAAUCUCUCGUAUUUUAUACCAGACAUUUUUAUAUUAUGCUGAGAUUGUGUUUCUUACUAAAUCUUUCUGAUUAAGUCCUUUAUAACACUUGGGUUGAUAGGGUGACAUACCUGUAACAUCUAAUCUUGUGUUACAUGUGGUCACUCCAGCUUCAUUAACUGCAGACACAGUAUACCACCCAGCAUCUUUCUUGUUUACGUCUUUUAUCAGUAAAGUGACUCUACCAGAGUUAUCAUGAUAUAAACUGGAAAGAAACAAUAAUAAAAAAUUAAAGUAUAAGAAUUGAUUUUCCUGUGAAAGUUUAUUUAUGCUGUCUGUGACCUAGAGUGCCAGACUGUAAGAAAAUGAAGUAUUUGGAAAUUCUGAGCUGUACCUAGUCAGUGCCAUGUAGCAUUGGUUUUAUUGAAUUUAACCUCCCCCCACUUAAUUUUGUUUGUGUCAUCAUUUCCUUGAGCCAUCUUUCUUUAUUGUUAGUAAAAAGGUAAGUCCUGGCCUACUUUAUGCCUUAUGUUUUUGAUUAGUGGAAUCUGGUGUAAUGAGGUUUAUUACAUUUCUCUGCAUGUUUUAAAAACCAGACAAAGUGAGAUUACAAAUGCAUGCCAUUUAUAAUGCAUUUCAAGUACAACUGGAUUCAUCCCAAUAAACUAGAGUUAUGUCUAAAAAUACUUAUCCUACCUUAUUCGAUCAGUGUUGAAUUGUACCAUUUCAUUAUUUCUUUUCCAGAAAAUCUUUGGUGGAGGUACAGCUGAGAUUUGGCAUUCUAGCUUCACUGAGUCUCCCUCAAAAACUUUUUUGCUUUGUGGUUUGUAGAUAAACAUUGGUGCUCUUCUAUGUUCUUUUGCUACAUAUUAAUAAAAAAUUCAGGUAUUUGAAAUAUUAUAAAAAGAAAAUAAGCCAAGCCAAGGUAUUAUGAAAUUUGUAUGUUGAUACAAAAGUUUUAAAAAACACAAGAUUGAAAGCUUAUGUUUUAGCAUUAUUUUAAACAACAUAGAGUACUAUUUUGCAUUAUUAUACCAUUUAGACUUCUAAAAUAGUAAUGUUGCAUUGAAUUUACAAUCAUGUUUCAUCAAAGAAUUUAAGUUAUAUUCUCAUUUAUGUCUCUUCUAUAAGGAGGCAGCAUGAAUGGUGGCAAGACUAGACAGCCUACGUUCAAAUUCUCUAUUUGCCCCACCAGCCAUGCCAAAUGGGAAAGAUUUGUUUAGUUUCUCUGAGGCUCAGUUUUAUCUAUUGUAAAAUAAUUACAGGUAUAGUGACUGCUCUGCCUACCACACAAAAUUACUGUGAGGAUCAGCUGAGAUAAUGAAUGAAGCAGCAUUUUGUAAACUGUAAAAUAGUAUAUAAUUGUCAGUAAUUAUUACAUCAUUUCUUUAAUUACCUGAAGGAAAAGAGGAAAUGGUAUCAGAAUACUGUAACCCUAGCUUUUCUGAAGGAGAAAUGAAAUUGGACAGAUGCCUGCCAAGGCCUCUUUCAACUCUAGCAUUAAUAAUAUUUCUGGAGCUAUUUGCACAAAAAGGAUUUGCUCAAAGCUUAAUCACUUGAAUUGGAUUUUUUUUUGAUUCCCAGAUUACUCGGUUUUCCCUUAGACUGAGGCCCAUUAUUAUAUCAUAGAAUAAUCUUAAAGGGUUUUUCACUGAUUUGAAUAGAACACAAAAUCAAGGAUAUUGUUCAUCCUUUAACUUGAUCAAGAUUUUAUGUAAUCAGCAGUAAAUUAUGUCAAAGUAUCUUUUCUGCAGUAUGCCAUGGCUUAAACCUUUACAAAUGUAAUAUAUAUUUAAACCACUUAAAUUGUAAUAUUUUUAAGUAGUAUAUAAGUUUUAUAAGAAACUGCCUUACUGAAGACAAAUUUGAGACAGUUUAGCCAUACCUGUUUUCGAAAGCAAGUAGGUGUGUUUUUGUUAUAAAUAGAGACUAGUUUUCUAUUAAACAACAUCAUCUGAGGCUAAAAGUUAACAUUUAUAUCUCAGUUUUAAGUAAUGUGUGAUCAUGGCAAUGCUGGAAAAAUAACAAUCAGAUUAAUUUAGACGAUAGAUCAGAGAAGUGAUUAGACUGAAGUUUUUCACUAUAAUAUCCUUUAGUUACAUCUAGAAAUGGUUACAUCUAGAAAUGCUUAUAUAGUUGACUCUUGAACAGUGCAGGGCAUUGGGGCACCCCUCCACCCUGCCGCCAUGCAGUUGAAAGUCUGCACAUAACUUUUGACUCCUGAAAAACUUAACUCCUAAUAGCCUACUCUUAACUGGAAGCUUUACUGAUAAUAUGAACAGUCCAUUAACACAUAUUUUCUGUGUUAUAUGUAUUAUAUACUGUAUUCUUAUGAUGAAGUAAAUUAGAGAAAAGAAAAUGUUAUUUAAAAAAUCAUAAGCAGGUGACAAUACUGUGUUAUAAAAAAUCUGCAUGUAAAUGGACAUGCACUGCUCAAACCUAUGUUGAAUUGAGAGUCAACUGUACUGCCUCAUUUGGUUUGUCUAAAAUUGCACUAUUUCUUUAUUUCCUUUUGUGAAAAGCUUUGGUUGUAGGUCUCUUGUUGAAGUUUCCCUGAGUUUCUCUCAAAAAUGCUGUCUGCCCCCUCUCCCACCCUGUGACUUUUAGAUAAAAAUUGGCAUUCUCCUGGGUUGUGUAGACAUUGACCUUAAAUAUGAAGUCCUGUGGGAUUUUCCUUUUUAACACUUGCUUUUUUUUUUUUUUUAAUACUGCUGGAUUUUAAGGAACUCUUGAAGAUCCCUCUGAUGGCUUACCCAGGACAUCCAGCUGCACAGUAAAGGUGGCUUCUCCUGCUCUGUUCUUGGCAACACAUGCAUAUGCCCCUGCAUCUGAAGCUCUGACCACUUCAAAGAUGAGUGAAUGAAAACCCUUUUCAGACACUAUCAUUUUGUGCAAGUCAUCUGAUUGAACUGGUCUUCCAUUCAGAUACCAUGACACAUCAGGAGCUGGCAGUCCGCUGACCUGGAAAGGAAGACACAAGAAGGAGAUGACAGAAUUUUAAAUUAUAUCAUCACUGGUACCUAUUUGUCCAUUUACAACUUUUAACAAUUCUAGUAUCUGGGUGGGUUUGUGAUUGACAGUGCAAAGCAAGAGCUUAAAAAGGUGUUUGCUUUCAACAAUGUUUAACAAAACAGUAGAAAUUAAACUCUCGAAAUCAAUCUAGUAUUUUCAGACUACAUCAAACCACAUCUAGCUCUUUCGUAUGCACCAUGAGGCCCUGUAAGGUGUCUCAGUUACUAUAUUUAGAACAUUAACUUACGUUAUAUAGGUCUCCCCAAGAAGUAUGAAGUGAUACGGGUUUUUUUGAAAAUGUGACUGCAGUUGAAGUCUCAGAGGGACAUAUGUGUGAUGCUUGCUGAUCUAAUGGAUGACUUUACCAAAGUAGAAUGCUCUUGAGCUGUAAUUCUGGUGUUUAAAUUCCAGUUUAAGUGUUUUCUUAUAAACCUUAACAAUUAAAUCCAUACAUGGACUUUCGUUCACAAGGAAUCCAGAAAAACAUUUUAUAAGAAAAAGGUCUCCAAAAUGAGAGCAAUAAAAAUGUAGGUCUUUCUAAAGA
rnacentral:lncRNA from 1 species